UACAGAGGGUGCGAGCGUUGUCCGGAAUUACUGGGCGUAAAGGGCUCGUAGGCGGCCAACUAAGUCAUACGUGAAAUCCCUCGGCUUAACCGGGGAACUGCGUCUGAUACUGGAUGGCUUGAGUUCGGGAGAGGGAUGCGGAAUUCCAGGUGUAGCGGUGAAAUGCGUAGAUAUCUGGAGGAACACCGGUGGCGAAGGCGGCAUCCUGGACCGAUACUGACGCUGAGGAGCGAAAGCCAGGGGAGCAAACGGG
rnacentral:rRNA from 1 species